CAUGUAUAAGUUUUUGUGUGUGCAUGUGUUUUCAAUUCUCUUGGAUAUACACACACACACACACACACACACACACACACACACACACACACA
rnacentral:miRNA from 1 species